rnacentral:lncRNA from 1 species
AUGUGGAAGGAGAGCUGGCGAAGGGCCUGGUGUACAGUAGGUGGAUGGCAAAUGAGGGCUCCCCCAAGGAACUUGUUUGUGUUCCCUUCAGGUUUUCUGUCCACCUCCAGUCUCCAUCUGGCUGCUCCGUGGUGCCCGGGAGUCUCCAUGGUCCAGUUUCCCCAUCAGUGUCUCUUCCCCCUCCCCCUGCCCCUAUCUGUCUUGGGUCCUGGCGGCCCCGCUGUACCCUGGGUUUCUAUGUUCCGCGCUCCUCUCCCCGUCUCUCUCCGGGUCCUGGCGGCCCCGCUGUGCCCUGGGUCUCCGCUCCCCGUCUCUCUCUGGGUCCUGGUUGCCCACAGCGCCCCAGGAGUCUCCAUGGCUCUGUCUCCCCCUCCCUGUCUCUGGAUCCUGGCUGUUGCACGUUGUUCGCGGGUCUCCAUGGCUCGCUCUCCCCCUCCCCGUCUCUCUCUGGGUCCUGGUUGCCCACAGUGCCCUAGGAGUCUCCAUGGCUCUCUCUCCCACUCCCUGUCUCUGGAUCCUGGCUGUCGCACGUUGUUCGGGGGUCUGUCUCCAUGGCUUGCUCUCCCUCUCGCCGUCUCUCUCUGGGUCCUGGCGGCCACACUGUGCCCUGGGUCUCCGUGGGUCUCUCCUCCCAGUCUCUCUCUGGGUCCUCGUGGACCCUUGGUUCCCCGGGGGGCUCCCUGGCCAGCAGCGCCCUCCGCGCGCCACCUCACCCGCUCCCGUCUCUCCCCAGCAGGUCACAACGCCGACGACAUGGCGGAGACCGUGCUCAUGAAUUUCCUGAGAGGCGACGCGGGGCGGCUAGCCCGGGGCGGGGGCCUGGGCUCCUGGACUAGCGGGACGCCCUGCCGCGCUGCCGCCCACUGCAGUUCGCCUCGCAGAAGGAGGUGGUGCUGUACGCGCACUUCCGCCGCCUCGACUACUUCUCCGAGGAGUGCGUCUACGCGCCCGAGGCCUUCCGCGGCCACUCCCGGGACCCGCUCAAGCGCCUGGAGGCGGCGCGGCGGUCGGCGGUGCUGGACCUCGUGCACUCGGCCGAGCGCCUGGCGCUGGCCCCGGCCGCGCGGACCCCGCGCCCCGGCGCCUGCUCCCGCUGUGGGGCCCUGGCCAGUCGCGCGCUCUGCCAGGCCUGCGCGCUCCCGGCCAUCGGCAAGAGCCGCCGGGGGCUGGACGAGGAGGCGACGCCGGGGACACCCGGGGAUCCGGCCCGGGCCCCCACCUCCGAGACUGUCCCCACCUUCUAGCGACUCCAGGCCUCCCGCCGGGAUCCGACGCCCCCGAGUGGGGGCUGCCUGUAAAUGA